rnacentral:sRNA from 1 species
AACGGGAUCCCUGCCAAUCGAAUCGUCCUGGGAGGCUUUUCACAGGGCGGGGCCCUGUCCCUCUACACGGCCCUCACCUGCCCCCACCCUCUGGCUGGCAUCGUGGCGUUGAGCUGCUGGCUGCCUCUGCACCGGGCCUUCCCCCAGGUGAAUGUCCCCACUGACCCCCCGCCCUUUGUGUCUGUAUCCUCAUGGCUUGGGGACUGCUGCAGCACUAGCUUUGCCCUGAGUCCUGUCCGGCCCCCAGGCAGCUAAUGGCAGUGCCAAGGACCUGGCCAUCCUCCAGUGCCAUGGGGAGCUGGACCCCAUGGUACCCGUACGGUUUGGGGCCCUGACGGCUGAAAAGCUCCGGUCUGUUGUCACACCUGCCAGGGUCCAGUUCAAGACAUACCCGGGUGUCAUGCACAGCUCCUGUCCUCAGGAGAUGGCAGCUGUGAAGGAAUUUCUUGAGAAGCUGCUGCCUCCUGUCUAACUAGUCGCUGGCCCCAGUGCAGUACCCCAGCUCAUGGGGGACUCAGCAAGCAAGCGUGGCACCAUCUUGGAUCUGAGCCGGUCGAGCCCCUGUCCCCACCCUUCCUGACCUGUCCUUUUCCCACAGGCCUCUGGGGGCAGGUGGCAAGGCCUGGCCGGGCCUUCCUUCCUGGCCUCAGCCACCUGGCUCUGUCUGCAGCAGGGGCAGGCUGCUUUCUUAUCCCAUUUCCCUGGAGGCGGGCCCCCCUGGCAGCAGUAUUGGAGGGGCUACAGGCAGCUGGAGAAAGGGGCCCAGCCGCUGACCCACUCACUCAGGACCUCACUCACUAGCCCCGCUUUGGGCCCCCUCCU